CUCGUCGUAUUGACUGCAUCGCGUGUCGCCCUUUUCCGGUUGAUCCUGCCGGACCCGACUGCUAUCAGAAUAGGACUAAGCCAUGCGAGUCAACGUACAUAGUAGCAAUACUACGUGGCAUACGGCUCAGUAACACGUAGUCAACAUGCCCAGGGGACGUGGAUAACCUCGGGAAACUGAGGAUAAACCGCGAUAGGUCAUAAUGUCUGGAAUGAUUUAUGGCUGAAAUCUACAUGGCCUCUGGAUUGGACUGCGGCCGAUCAGGCUGUUGGUGAGGUAAUGGCCCACCAAACCUAAAACCGGUACGGGCUCUGAGAGGAGGAGCCCGGAGAUGGGCACUGAGACAAGGGCCCAGGCCCUAUGGGGCGCAGCAGGCGCGAAACCUCUGCAAUAGGCGAAAGCUUGACAGGGUUAUUCUGAGUGGUUUCCGCUAAGGAAAUCUUUUGGCACCUCUAAAAAUGGUGCAGAAUAAGGGGUGGGCAAGCCUGGUGUCAGCCGCCGCGGUAAUACCAGCACCCCGAGUGGUCGGGACGAUUAUUGGGCCUAAAGCAUCCGUAGCCGGUUCUGCAAGUCUUCCGUUAAAUCCACCUGCUCAACAGUUGGGCUGCGGAGGAUACUAUAAAGCUAGGAGGCGGGAGAGGCAAGCGGUACUUAGUGGGUAGGGGUAAAAUCCGUUGAUCCACUGAAGACCACCAGUGGCGAAGGCGGCUUGCCAGAACGCGCUCGACGGUGAGGGAUGAAAGCUGGGGGAGCAAACCGGAUUAGAUACCCGGGUAGUCCCAGCUGUAAACGAUGCAGACUCGGUGAUGAAUAAGCUUCGUGCUUAUUCAGUGCCGCAGGGAAGCCGUUAAGUCUGCCGCCUGGGGAGUACGGUCGCAAGACUGAAACUUAAAGGAAUUGGCGGGGGAGCACCACAAGGGGUGAAGCCUGCGGUUCAAUUGGAGUCAACGCCGGGAAUCUUACCGGGGGCGACAGCAGAGUGAAGGUCAAGCUGAAGACUUUACUAGACAAGCUGAGAGGAGGUGCAUGGCCGUCGCCAGCUCGUGCCGUGAGGUGUCCUGUUAAGUCAGGUAACGAGCGAGACCCCUGCUUCUAGUUGCUACUUUUAUUCUUCGGAGUAAAGGGGCUAAUUAGAAGGACUGCCGCCGCUAAGGCGGAGGAAGGAGGGGGCUACGGCAGGUCAGUAUGCCCCGAAACCCUCGGGCCACACGCGGGCUGCAAUGGUAAGUACAAUAGGUUCCGAUUUCGAAAGGAGGAGGCAAUCCGCAAAACUUACCACAGUUAUGAUUGAGGGCUGAAACUCGUCCUCAUGAAUAUGGAAUCCCUAGUAAUCGCGUGUCAUCAUCGCGCGGUGAAUACGUCCCUGCUCCUUGCACACACCGCCCGUCGCUUCAUCGAAGUUGGUUUUAGGCGAGGUGGUGCGAUUUGGCAUUAUCGAACCUGAGGUCAGCAACGAGGGAGAAGUCGUAACAAGGUAACCAAGGGCGACACGCGAUUGCAGCGAGCCUCAGACACUGGCCGUCU
rnacentral:rRNA from 1 species